ACAUUGCUUGAAGAGUUAACUAAUGAAACGGAUGGUGUUUUACAAGAUGUAGAUAGUAACCAAACGAUUAUUUCGACAAAUCAUCGAUUUUCUAGAGACUUAACAGAUCGUCCGAAUGCUAUGCAACUAACUGGUUUAUUUAUUUAUAAGAUGUAAGUAUUUGUAGUGCUUAUAGGGUUUAUUGUAUUUUUUAUGGCUUUGAUUCUCAUGCUUUACAAAUAUUGCAAAAGGUAUUGUCAUAGAAUAAAAAAUGGACGUAGAUCAGACCGUGGUCGUCGUAGAAGACAAUAAACUCGCCUGAACCGAAAACACAGCAAACAUAUGGAUGUAUUUAUUAAAUAUCAUGAUGUGUGUGAAAAAGCGUAGUAUGCUAAAAUUUAAAACAAUAGCACAAAUUUAAAUUCGGUUUAU